UACGUAGGGGGCAAGCGUUGUCCGGAAUCAUUGGGCGUAAAGCGCGUGUAGGCGGCUCGGUAAGUCUGCUGUGAAAGUCCAGGGCUCAACCCUGGGAUGCCGGUGGAUACUGUCGAGCUCGAGUCCGGAAGAGGCGAGUGGAAUUCCUGGUGUAGCGGUGAAAUGCGCAGAUAUCAGGAGGAACACCGAUGGCGAAGGCAGCUCGCUGGGACGUUACUGACGCUGAGACGCGAAAGCGUGGGGAGCAAACAGG
rnacentral:rRNA from 1 species